GUGCACUAUAAAGGAAAGGGUGAAAAAUAAGGCAACACCAAUAGAAUGUACUUAAUCUCUAUGUAAUUAAUAUAUAAGUUGAGACAAUAUACAAAAAAAAAAAUGCAGUGUACAUACUUUUAAUAGUACACGAUACAAUAGAAAUUGAGAUAACUCUAUCCUAGUUGCACUCAGGCUUUAGCUAAUCUUCCACAAACUCUAAAGUUUCCUUGUAGUUGGAGAAUNNNNNNNNNNNNNNNNNNNNNNNNNNNNNNNNNNNNNNNNNNNNNCUUGGUAUUGGAUAUAAAGUCCUGACCUAUUUAAUCUCAUACUUCAUGUGUUACCUAAAAUUGCAAAAAUUAGCGUUUCAGUAGUAAUUAACAAAAGGCAGCCAAAAUCAUAAUCUUAAUACAAAACAGAAAACAAUGAUAAGGGCCAAAUUUGCUCACCUAAAAUCACUCUUUAAGGUCGCAGUCCCGUUGUCGAGAUGAACUAAAUAAUAAAUUUCAAGCUUGAUGAUAUUGAAAGUUACUCCCAUAUUUCCCUUCAGCUUGAAUACAUUUUAACCAAUAGAUCUUGAAAGACAUCAACAACUGUUGAACCUCGCAAAAGUUUUAGAAACAAAAUCAGGUUUAAAAAUUUAUAAAGUAAAAGGAAACAUUAAAUUAGACACAAUGAGCUGAAAUUUUGCAAGAGAAGGAAUUCAAACCUCACAUAGGCCAUCCAAUAUUAAACUCGGUGAGAUAUAGAAAGGAAAGAGGUAAUUGAGCAAAUUUGAAUUUUGAAUUGAAGAGGGAACAUGUGUGUAUAUAUAAUCAUAAACAAAAAUAAAAACCAAAUAGAACAAAAAGACAAUAGGUGACUAAUGCAUUUAAGUAACAACAAUGUUUUAAAACAUGAGAUUAUUUUGAAAAGUCUUCAAAAUAAUAAACAUGAGAUUUAUUUACUGAAACCAAGAACUAAUAAACUGAAAACAAUACCUAAAGAAAAAAAAUGUGACUAUUGAGAUCUAUCGUUCACUAAGCACUAUUCACUCUCUCAUUCUCUUCUACUUCAUUGUAUUCCUAAGAGAAGAAUAAAGACCCAUAAACACAACAACAAAAGAUGGAAAUAUGAACAUUUUCAUAUCACAAUAAUUUUUUUGGAUGAAUCAGAUAAAAUUCUAAGAAUGAGACUUCUAAGGUUCAUGUUCAAUUAAGUACCUUCCUAAUUUAUAUUAUAAACCAAAUUGUUAUGGCUUGACAUAUUUAAAGGGAUAGUGAACCAACAAAGCCUUCUAAGAAUGAGACACUUAAGGUUCAUGUUCAGUUAAGAAAAAAAAUGGAGUGAAGAGAAGGACUCACCUUGUAAAUCAGAAUGCUAAGGGAAAACAUGGCAAGCCACUCCUUCAUCAUGGCAUUGCUAAUCUUGCUACAUUCUCUCAAUAAUAGUUAAUAGCAACUUUCCAACUUCAUUCUCGUUACUCGCCCUUCAAAAAAAUGAAUGUGUUAAAAAUGUCUGGGAGAGAAAUCCAACAAACAAAUUUAGGAUGGAGAUAAUAUGACAAACACAAUAGAAAGUAAUAGAGAGAGAGGAUAUCAGAUAAUUUUUUAAAAAAAGUAACGAAGAUAAGGAUAAACUGAUUUCUAACAAAAGAUAAAACUCAUACUAUGUAUUCUUUGAUAUCUAAAAAAGUAACGAAGAUAAAACUUAUCUAAACUAAAUUGAUAUCUAACAAAAGAGAAAACUCAUAACUAUGUAUUCUUUGAUCUUAUCUACUAUAUCCACUAAAAGAGAAAAAAUAGAGACAUUAACACAACAUAUUGCAAUUGCUCCAACUGCUGAGAUAUUGAAAUGUGAAUAUCUUCCAUCUACCGUUGAGAACAUAAUCUCCUAUAAAUUAGAAUGGAACAAAAUAAUUACCUUUCAAAAAAGAGAAACCAAAAUGAAACAAUGUAACUAAUUUUUUUAAAGNNNN
rnacentral:lncRNA from 1 species